rnacentral:lncRNA from 1 species
AUAACGGCGACCGUGAAGACUUUUAAAAUAGAGACCAACGUGGCCGGGCAGGAAGAGCAGGGUCCCGCCUUCAGGUGUUUGGGACUCAGCUGAGGGUGUGGGUGCCCCGCGGUGGGGGCUGAACCUUCCUGGGGUGUGGAGAGACGAAAGGAGCCCAGAUCCAAGUUCCCUCGUUCCCGCUUUGGCAUAAGUUGCCCUGGCGGUCUCAUGAGAGAGAGAAAGAGCUGGGACCCUCCUCGCCCCAUGUAACAUCAGACAAGGGUGUUGACUCUGCAGCACAGAACCAGUAGUUUGUGGAGAAGAAUGGAGGUGUGGUGUUGAAUCUGCUAGACAGGCUACUGAAGCAAAAGUCAAGAGAUCCAGAUUCCAUCAUGGGGACACUUUAGUUCUUCAUCGGGUAAUUGAGCUGAUAUCAGGUGUCUGAAGGAGGCAAGUUUUGAAGAUGUGGGUCAUGAUGGCUGCUGAAGCUUCCACUCCAUAUUUGAAGGUCAGCAGUUCUCAGGAAACCUCUAGCACUUCCAUCCCUGGUGGGAUGUGAUGCCUGUCUCAGUGUAACAUCAGAGAAGGGGUGUACUCUGUGCCCUAGAACUAGGAGCUAACAGAGAAAAACCAAAUGUGAUGUGGAGUCUGCUAGACAGGCUACUGGAGCAAGAGUGAAGCGAUGAAAGUCUCAUCAUUGGGACAUAUUAGUGUGACAUGCAUAAAGGAAUUUCUUAUUGAGCCCCAGGAAGAAGAAACACUACAUAAGAGCAAAUAAUAAAAUCGGUCAGAUAGACAGAAGAUGGGAGUCAUCAAACCUGUAUCCCUCUUGCCAGACCUAUCAACUGACCAUACGUCAUUCAGGAGGCAGCAGGUGGCUGAAAUCCUGGUGUGAUGUGGCUGGAUCAUGCAUGAUCUGAGGACUCCUGCACAGAUGCAGUGGAUCCCCAGGUUGCAAGUCAUAUAACCUGAGCAUGCCCAGAUGAACCAAGUAUGCCUGAUUGGUGAACCUGGAACUGGCCAGAACAGAAAAUGUCAACCACAUGUGGAAUCUAAGUAUUCAGAUUGAGAAAUGAGGACCAAAAUGAGAACACUGAGCUCCUCACACAGGUGACUGAACCCGUGGUUUUGGUGUCUGAGAAGAUGCAGCUUCUCCAGUCUCUGCAACUGACGGCAGGAAGAUGGGAGCACUCAGCUUCAGUGUUCAGAAGCAGAUUUAGGCCAAUUGCCAUACCUUACGUUCUGGAGGGAUCCACCCUGACCUGAGCAGAAGGCAUCACACACAUUCCCAAGCAGCAUGGUUCCCGUGAGAAACUGAAAACUAAUUUCUUGAAUCUACAAUGCGACUUCCAUCUUCCAGGUGUAACCAGAGUUUUUCCUGGAGCGAUUCCAGCUUGUUUCCUUUUGGUGCCUUCCUUAAGAAAUUUUGCAGCUGUUUCUGGUGCAGUUUUUGGGUGGGCUCUGGGGUGGGCAGACGAUCUCCACUUUGCAGAGGCUGCUCUUGUGAGUGGAGCUGGUGGUGAGGGAGUAGGAGAGGCCUCGCAUCAUCCUGGCAUUCAGGCCCUUAGCCAUGGAGAAGGACUUGAGGUGGCUUCUUAAGGUACUGGGGAGCGGGAGCUUGUCCACCAGAUGCACAGGUGUGCAGGACACGAUGGUGCGGCAGCAGAGGUCUUGCAAGCUCAGUACCUUGCUCGGCCUCCCGAGCCAAUUCAUCCUGUGCCGCAGCAGCACUAUCCUGGCCAGCUCCGUGAAAGACUCUAUGAUGUUGAAAUUGCACAGAGGGCUGACCUCAAAGAAGGUCACACCCAGGCGCUCGGCGUAGGCCUGGGCCUGCUCCCUGGGCACCUGCCUCUUGAAUGCCAGAUGUAGGCGAUUCCCCACCAGGAUUUUAGGGACACCAGGGGCAUGUUCCUCAAUCUUCUUAAUCCAUCGAUCCAUACCCUCGAAAGACCAGCGGUUUGCAAUGUCGUAGACCAGGAUCACUCCUUGUGCACCACGAGAGUAGGAGCGGAAUAUGGUACAAAAUCUUCCCUGCCCCGACGUAUCCCAGAGCUUCAGCUUCACCCGCUGGCCGUCCAGCAGGAUGGUGGUCGUCUUGUAGUCGAUCCCCCCGAGAUGGCUGUACGGGGACUCAGCUGCACCAUCCUGCAGGCUCUCCAGGAUCUCACUCUUGCCUACGUCCCUGUCGCCCACCAGCAGGAACUUGAGCAGGAAGUCAUAGGCCUGGUCGGGGCUGCCCGGGGCGCUCAUGGUGCUGGCCCCGCACUCCCGCCUGAGCCAGGCCCGCGGGGUUGUGCGCAGAGGUGGUGCCGGGCCUGUUCUUCUUGAGAAAUUAGCAUAGAACAUAAAAAAUGAGAUGGGGAAGUCUGUGAAAUAAAGCGAAAUGAGGUGGUGGC